rfam:Picea glauca, whole genome shotgun sequence.
ACAUGCAUACAACUUAGUGUUAAUUCAUCGAAUCCCAUUAGAACUCCACAGUUAUGUGCGCUCGACCUAGAGUAGUACUGGGAUGGGUGACCACUUGGGAAGUUUUAGUAUUUUACAUGCC